UUGUUAAUAUUUUAAGAUUACUCGGUAAUCCUUUGUCUUUUAGUGGA
rnacentral:tRNA from 1 species